rnacentral:rRNA from 1 species
CAGAAGAGGAAAGUGGAACUCCAUGUGUAGCGGUGGAAUGCGUAGAUAUAUGGAAGAACACCAGUGGCGAAGGCGGCUUUCUGGUCUGUAACUGACGCUGAGAUUCGAAAGCAUGGGUAGCAAACAGGAUUAGAUACCCUGGUAGUCCAUGCCGUAAACGAUGAGUGCUAAGUGUUGGAGGGUUUCCGCCCUUCAGUGCUGCAGCUAACGCAUUAAGCACUCCGCCUGGGGAGUACGACCGCAAGGUUGAAACUCAAAGGAAUUGACGGGGGCCCGCACAAGCGGUGGAGCAUGUGGUUUAAUUCGAAGCUACGCGAAGAACCUUACCAGGUCUUGACAUACUAUGCAAAUCUAAGAGAUUAGACGUUCCCUUCGGGGACAUGGAUACAGGUGGUGCAUGGUUGUCGUCAGCUCGUGUCGUGAGAUGUUGGGUUAAGUCCCGCAACGAGCGCAACCCUUAUUAUCAGUUGCCAGCAUUAAGUUGGGCACUCUGGUGAGACUGCCGGUGACAAACCGGAGGAAGGUGGGGAUGACGUCAAAUCAUCAUGCCCCUUAUGACCUGGGCUACACACGUGCUACAAUGGAUGGUACAACGAGUUGCGAACUCGCGAGAGUAAGCUAAUCUCUUAAAGCCAUUCUCAGUUCGGAUUGUAGGCUGCAACUCGCCUACAUGAAGUCGGAAUCGCUAGUAAUCGCGGAUCAGCAUGCCGCGGUGAAUACGUUCCCGGGCCUUGUACACACCGCCCGUCACACCAUGAGAGUUUGUAACACCCAAAGUCGGUGGGGUAACCUUUUAGGAACCAGCCGCCUAAGGUGGGACAGAUGAUUAGGGUGAAGUCGUAACAAGGUAGCCGUA